UACGAAGGGGGGCGAGCGUUGUUCGGAUUUACUGGGCGUAAAGGGCGCGCAGGCGGCCAUUCAAGUCAGGCGUGAAAGCCCCGGGCUUAACCUGGGAGGUGCGUCUGGGACUGGGUGGCUAGAGAUCGGGAGAGGAGAGUGGAAUUCCCAAGUGUAGAGGUGAAAUUCGUAGAUAUUGGGAAGAACACCGGUGGCGAAGGCGGGUCUCUGGGCCGAUACUGACGCUGAGGAGCGAAAGCGUGGGGAGCGAACAGG
rnacentral:rRNA from 1 species